rnacentral:lncRNA from 14 species
AGGGUCCGAUCCUGCUGCAUCUGCUGCCCUGCGCUGCCUGGGGUCCUUACCUGCACCCAUCUGCCCUUGCUCAGACCUGCAGGGAUGAUGUGGCCAAAGCCUUGGGAGCCUGAGGCACUGGGAGCCGCUCAGCCAAACACCUCCCUUCAAAGUUCACACAAACUCUGCACCAUGGCAGUGACUUACAAAGAGCCUUUAUCCCUCCCCUCCUGCCGAGGGGGGUGUUGGUUAUUUCACUGGAAGCUCAUUAAUCACUUUCCCACUGCUCCCCUCCCUGCAAGCUGGGGCAAGUCCCUUCCCCAUCACUGGGCACAGGGCCCAGGAGCCAGCUCCCAGCGCAGAGAACCCCCUCUCUGAGGCCUGACCCCCAGCUCUGGGGUGCAGCAGGGUCCAAGGAGUGGGUGCUGCUGUGUGGGGUGCAGGAGCUCAGGGGCAGCAGGAGGCACCUGAGGAGCACACACACACUCGGGCUGCAGCUCUGCUGGGUUUGGAAACCAAAGUGAUGGAGAGGAACAAAUCCAACCAGCGGUGCAGUAAAUUAGCACUGCUUGAGGAUGGCUCCGGGGGAGGGCUCUGCAGCUGGAAAUCAAACAAGCCAGGGUUUAGUUAGUUAUUAUAACACGUCUGUGCAGUGGCUGUGCCGAGGGCUGUGUCCCUCCAUGGGGACAUCUGGUCCCGCAGAGCCGAUGUGGAGAUCAGCCCUUAUCUACCAGGCAAAUACCUGGGGGAGGCACAAACUGAAUCAACAGGGUGAGAAGGAAGAGGCAGGGCUGACACCAGCCAGUGAGAGCCCAACAGGAGCAGCUCAUGGAGCAUCCUCUGCCCUUGGGCUGGUGGGCACUGAGCUCCCAUGGCCACAGCUGCCAUCCCACUGCUCACCCUGGCUGGGGAUUUCGUAUUGGCAGAGGCAGAAGAGGGGUGCUGAAGGCUGCACUGUCCAGCAGCGUCAUUCAUCCAGGAGUCACCAGCCAAGCUCCUGACAUGAAUCAAGCACCACAGCCCGCUCUGGAGGAGGCAGGUAAAUAGGAUUAUACCUGUUUUCCUGCAGCACACAC